CAGUAGCCACGGUAAAACAGAGGGUGCGAGCGUUAAUCGGAUUUACUGGGCGUAAAGCGUGCGUAGGCGGCUUUUUAAGUCGGAUGUGAAAUCCCUGAGCUUAACUUAGGAAUUGCAUUCGAUACUGGGAAGCUAGAGUAUGGGAGAGGAUGGUAGAAUUCCAGGUGUAGCGGUGAAAUGCGUAGAGAUCUGGAGGAAUACCGAUGGCGAAGGCAGCCAUCUGGCCUAAUACUGACGCUGAGGUACGAAAGCAUGGGGAGCAAACAGGAUUAGAUACCCCCGUAGUCCCUGUCUCUUAUAA
rnacentral:rRNA from 1 species